GUCUGAUGGAGCAUGCCGCGUGAGGGAUGACGGUCUUCGGAUUGUAAACCUCUGUUGUAAGGGAAGAAUAUCCUUGAUAGGAAAUGAUCAAGGUUUGACGGUACCUUACCAGAAAGUCACGGCUAACUAUGUGCCAGCAGCCGCGGUAAU
rnacentral:rRNA from 1 species